rnacentral:sRNA from 1 species
ACCAGGUGCAGUGGCGCACGCCUGUAAUCCCAGCAACUCAGGAGGCUGAGGCAGGAGGAUUGCAAGUUUAAGAACAGCCUCAACAAUAUAGUGAGAUCCUGUCCCAA